UCCCCGAUAGCUCAGCGGUAGAGCAAGUGACUGUUAAUCACUGGGUCCGUGGUUCGAAUCCGCGUCGGGGAGCCA
rnacentral:tRNA from 1 species